rnacentral:rRNA from 1 species
AAUUGGUGGAAUGACUUGUCUGGUUAAUUCCGUUAACGAACGACACCUUAACCUGCUAAAUAAAUAUACAUAAUUUCGGUUAUGUGGGCAACUUCUUAGAGGGACUUUGCGUGUAUAACGCAAGGAAGUUUGAGGCAAUAGCAGGU